rnacentral:lncRNA from 1 species
UAACAAUUCAACUUGUACAAAAAAAUAAAAAAAAUUAUAUUGGUAGGUUCAAAAUUUUACAUUACCACGUUGUAAACUUUGCACGUUCAAAACUUUACACUUAGAAUUUAUAAACCUUUACCUAUCACAAUACUGCUAGAUUUAAAACUUUACACUCAUAAUUUAUAAACUUUGGACCAUGACAUUAUAAAUUUUGUAUUGUUAGCUUCAAAACUUUAAACUAUCACAUUAUAAACUUUAUACUGCU